rnacentral:rRNA from 1 species
GACGGAGGGUGCAAGCGUUAUCCGGAUUUACUGGGUUUAAAGGGUGUGUAGGCGGAUAUUUAAGUCAGAGGUGAAAUCUCCGGGCUCAACCCGGAAACUGCCUUUGAUACUAUUUAUCUUGAAUUUCGUUGAGGUUGGCGGAAUAUAUCAUGUAGCGGUGAAAUGCAUAGAUAUGUCACAGAACACCGAUUGCGAAGGCAGCUCACUAAGCUAUGAUUGACGCUGAGGCUCGAAAGCGUGGGGAUCAAACAGG